UAACCAUGGUGGGGACAUUGAAUGAGCAAUAUUUUGAACCUUUCCCAUGCCUCAUGGAACGGUUCGCCUUCAGCUUGCGAGAAAGUUAUAAUUUUUCUUCUUAACUCA
rnacentral:snoRNA from 1 species